AUUCAUGGUAGUUCGUGGUAAAAUAUAUAUAUAUAUAUAGAAACAUUAUGGCGAAGACCCAAAACAGUCCUGUAAACAAAUGCCGUCGGUUUUGUUUGUUUGUUUACAGCAAUGUUGUUGUUUUUUUGCAGUUAAACGGGGCAUUGUUGCUUUGGCUUUUCGAUUACCUCUUAAAAUAUUAUUACACUAGUAGUAUGUUAGCUGAAGGCACAUUAAUAAUGAAAAUAUUUAACUAUAACCCUUGGCAAAACAGCCUUUCAAGAACAUGUAUGAGCUGCUUGCAAAAUUACCUUCAAUACUGACAGCAUAGCGCCUAUUAAAACGCUAAAUUACUAUAAAGGUCUAGCCAUAUAUUUUACAUGGUCUCAUAGCAUAAUUGCACUUGUGUGGUAUAGCCAACAUACACAUAAAUCGAUAUGUUCCAACCAGGGUCAAUCGUAAAUUGUUAAUUGUAAAACUGAUGUUCAUGUGUAUUUCUGUGGUCCAUCAGGAGAACAUUAUUAUAUAGAACAUUAUAACAGACUAUACGCAAACAAAGAGCCUGGAUGUCUUAUAAGACAAUAAAAAUAAAAAUAAAAACCAGUAUCAGUGAGGGUAUAUGUAUAGCAUGGAGGUUAUACGAUUAGCGUUAUAUAAUCCAUUAACAAAAUAGGAAGGAUCGAUUUCAAACAUCCAAACAUUUGUGGUGUAUUUUUUUAAAAACGUGAAUGAAAAGACCGUGGAGGCCGCGCGCAGUUUUAGUGCUUAUAUAAUAAACAGAGAGUCAAGGAAGGCUGCGCGUGAUCAAUCUUACUCACCAAAAGGUCUGACAACAUCGCGCCCCCACAACAUAUUUCAACUCUCUAACUCUGCGCAAGAUCCAAAAAGCAACCAGAAAGAGACAAACAAGACACUAUGCAGACGUUCUCUCCUUUUGAUUCCGUUUAACACUCAAAAUGACGCAAAUUCUCUUUUGGAUAAAAAUUAAUAUUAAGGCAAUGUAAGUGGGGACCUGGGAAGCUGUCAGAGUGUAAUGGAUUAGUCUGCUCGGAGGAGCGAGGCCUCUACUGCUAGACCUCAACACACAGCAAGAUGGAAGAAACGACUGAACAUCACGCAUUACAUGUGCAGCAAUAAUCACUUUGUUAUGUAAUUCUAGGGAACAUACUUUUUCAUAAGCACAUUGAACAUAAGCUUUUGAAUUAUUAUUAUUGUUGUUGUUGUUGUUGUGGUGGUGGUGGUGGUGGUGGUAAUUUGUCUCUGCUUUAUCGCCAGUUAAAUAAUGCAAUUCUUCUUCUUUUUUUCCUCUUUUCGGAUACACUGUAAAAUUUUGACUCAAAGCAAAAUGUAGUUUAAUUUCUAAAAUGCACAUAAUAAAAUGAGUCUUUUUCUUUUAUGAGAAUGGAAUGUCCUGUUGAAAUUGUAAACUAAACUCAAGCUUGAAAAUGUGCUUCAUUGUUCUAGACUUUCAGAGGAACAUCAUUGAACUGAAUUGGCCAGGUUGUGGAUUUUCGUUCAGUCCAAAUGGCCAGUGAGCCAUGGUAAAGCUCACGUGUAGCUUUCUGUUGAGCUUAUAUUAACGUUACAAGAUCGUCGUGCUUCUUCGUGCUCAAACACACAAGGAUAAUGUGCUGGAUAAUUUCAAGUCUGGCAAGUCCUGCUUGCUAGCUAGCUAGCUAGCGCGCUAACGUGAGGUUUCAAAUGUGGAUAUCAUUUAGUUCAUUAGCCACCCAAGACGCAUGUACGAUGUGCUGGAUUUGUAGAAUUGAUCUUUAUAUAUAUAUAUUAACGAACUCCAACUGAAUGUGAUACAUGACGAGAUGGGGCGUGUUUGAUUGGCACAUAAGUGAAAAGCCAUGGUGAGCAGACAAGCAUCUCAGAAUCCAAAGCACGCCAAACCUUGUGAGGGAUGGGCUACAGCAGAUGAAGAUCACUUCAAUUUCCAUUCUUGAAAGCCAAGAACAGGAAUUUGAGUCUACAGUGGGCACAGGCUCACUGUCACUGGACAGUUAAUAAUUCAUCUCUCUUUUUCUAAUGUUCCAACCCUGGG
ensembl:lncRNA